GGCAAUAGCUCAAAUUUGAAAUCUGCUCUUUUAGAGUCGAAUUGUAAUUUGUAGAGGAUGCUUCGGCUUACGUUUCGGUCUAAGUUCCUUGGAACAGGACGUCACAGAGGGUGAGAAUCCCGUUUGUGGCCGAGACUUCCGCCAUGUGAAGCUCCUUCGACGAGUCGAGUUGUUUGGGAAUGCAGCUCUAAAUGGGAGGUAUAUUUCUUCUAAAGCUAAAUACCGGCCAGAGACCGAUAGCGCACAAGUAGAGUGAUCGAAAGAUGAAAAGCACUUUGGAAAGAGAGUUAAAAAGUACGUGAAAUUGUUGAAAGGGAAGCGCUUGCGACCAGACUUGCCCGCGGAUGCUCAACCGGUCCUUCGGCCGGUGCACUCUUCCGCGGUCAGGCCAGCAUCAGUUCGAGUAGCCAGAUAAAGGCAUUGGGAAUGUGGCUCUCUUCGGGGAGUGUUAUAGCCCUUUGUGCAAUAUGGCUCAUUUGGACUGAGGCCCGCGCUUCGGCUAGGAUGCUGGCGUAAUGGUCGUAAGCGGCCCGUCUUG
rnacentral:rRNA from 1 species